rnacentral:misc_RNA from 1 species
UCUCCGUAGGUGAACCUGCGGAGGGAUCAUUACAGAGUUCAUGCCCUAACGGGUAGAUCUCCCACCCUAUGUUAUCAUCACUUUGUUGCUUUGGCGGGCCGUCAGGCCUCGGCUUGGCUACCGGCUCUCGCUGGUAAGCGCCCGCCAGAGAACCCCAAACCCUGAAUAUCAGUGUCGUCUGAGUACUAUAUAAUAGUUAAAACUUUCAACAACGGAUCUCUUGGUUCAG